rnacentral:rRNA from 1 species
AUUGAACGCUGGCGGCAUGCCUUACACAUGCAGGUCGAACGGCAGCGCGGGAGCAAUCCUGGCGGCGAGUGGCGAACGGGUGAGCAAUGCAUCGGAACGUGCCUAGUAGUGGGGGAUAACUGCUCGAAAGAGCAGCUAAUACCGCAUACGACCUGAGGGUGAAAGGGGGGGAUCGCAAGACCUCUCGCUAUUAGAGCGGCCGAUGUCGGAUUAGCUAGUUGGUGGGGUAAAGGCCCACCAAGGCAACGAUCCGUAGCUGGUCUGAGAGGACGACCAGCCACACUGGGACUGAGACACGGCCCAGACUCCUACGGGAGGCAGCAGUGGGGAAUUUUGGACAAUGGACGCAAGUCUGAUCCAGCCAUGCCGCGUGCGGGAAGAAGGCCUUCGGGUUGUAAACCGCUUUUGUCAGGGAAGAAAUCUUCUGGGCUAAUACCCUGGGAGGAUGACGGUACCUGAAGAAUAAGCACCGGCUAACUACGUGCCAGCCGCCGCGGUAAAAC